GCUCGAAGGGCCGGUUGGCAGGGUAUGGUUCCUGGGGGAGCGCUUUCUGCGUCAGGUAUGGGGGUAUCUUUCUUAGGAUCCUCCCGCAGUACCCCCAGUCAGUAUGCGGACUGCUGACAGGCUCUCUUACUCGGAGGUAGUCGGCGCCAUGCUGGGUAGUGAUGCUUUACUAUAUGUUGAGGAGGGGGACUAUGCCACUUACCGUCACAUAUAUUUGAUGCCUCCAUUGACGGAAGCUCGUAUCCCGAUGAUGAGACCCGCCGGUAUGUCAUCCUCAGACCAGGCUCAGGCUCGGGCUGCAGACGCCCCUUCUACUAGCAGGGCCGGUACAUCUAGAGGUGGGAGUAGACCGGUUCCUCCGGCUCCGUCGGUUCAUCCUCAUCCCGGAUGGCCAGAUAUGCCUACUGAGUUGAUGGCGUGGCAGUAUGGGGCUAGCUCUCCGACUCCGAUUCCACUAGAGCCUCCGAUGCCCAGUGAUCGAUAAGCCAUUGAUCCGGACUCACCGCCGCCAUCGCGAGGGUACAUAGAGGAGAUGGUUGGACUGGUGGCCACACUCGAGGGCAUGGUCCUGCGCAGGGAGGCGCAGUUGUCUGUCGCGGGCAUUCAGAUGCCUUCAUGGUCCGGCCAGCCGCAGACUAGGCCACCUGGGCCUCAUUGGGGAGCUGGGCCAUCUGAGCCUUUUCAGGGGGCGGGGUCAUCUCGGCCUUCCCGAGGAGCCGGGCCAUCUAGACCUUAUCGAG